rnacentral:rRNA from 1 species
AUUGAACGCUGGCGGCAGGCCUAACACAUGCAAGUCGAGCGCGCGGCGGACGGGUGAGUAAUGUCUGGGAAACUGCCUCAUGGAGGGGGAUAACUCCUGGAAACGGUAGCUAAUACCGCAUACCAUCAGAUGUGCCCAGAUGGGAUUAUCUAGUGGGUGGGGUAACGGCUCACCAAGGCGACGAUCACUAGCUGGUCUGAGAGGAUGACCAGCCACACUGGAACUGAGACACGGUCCAGACUCCUACGGGAGGCAGCAGUGGGGAAUAUUGCACAAUGGGCGCAAGCCUGAUGCAGCCAUGCCGCGUGUAUGAAGAAGGCCUUCGGGUUGUAAAGUACUUUCGGCGGGGAGGCGUUACCCGCAGAAGAAGCACCGGCUAACUCCGUGCCAGCCGCCGCGGUAAUAC